rnacentral:rRNA from 1 species
CGUGGCGGCAUGCUAUACAUGCAAGUCGAACGAUGAAGCACUCUGCUUGCAGAGUGCGGAAGAGUGGCGAACGGGUGAGUAACACGUGGGGAACCUGCCCAUAAGAGGGGGAUAACAUCCGGAAACGGAUGCUAAUACCGCAUAGGUGAUCAUAGCGCAUGCUUAGAUCAUUAAAGAUGGCUUCGGCUAUCGCUUAUGGAUGGCCCCGCGGCGUAUUAGCUAGUUGGUAAGGUAAUGGCUUACCAAGGCAGUGAUACGUAGCCGACCUGAGAGGGUGAUCGGCCACACUGGGACUGAGACACGGCCCAGACUCCUACGGGAGGCAGCAGUAGGGAAUCUUCCACAAUGGGCGAAAGCCUGAUGGAGCAAUGCCGCGUGAGUGAAGAAGGUCUUCGGAUCGUAAAGCUCUGUUGUUAGAGAAGAACAAGAGGUGUAGUAACUGGCAUCUCCUUGACGGUAUCUAACCAGAAAGUCACGGCUAACUACGUGCCAGCAGCCGCGGUAAUACGUAGGUGACAAGCGUUGUCCGGAUUUAUUGGGCGUAAAGCGAGCGCAGGCGGUCUUUUAAGUCUGAUGUGAAAGCCCACGGCUCAACCGUGGAUGGUCAUUGGAAACUGGAAGACUUGAAUGCAGAAGAGGAAAGUGGAAUUCCAUGUGUAGCGGUGAAAUGCGUAGAUAUAUGGAGGAACACCAGUGGCGAAGGCGACUUUCUGGUCUGUAAUUGACGCUGAGGCUCGAAAGCGUGGGGAGCGAACAGGAUUAGAUACCCUGGUAGUCCACGCCGUAAACGAUGAGUGCUAAGUGUUGGAGGGUUUCCGCCCUUCAGUGCUGGAGCUAACGCAUUAAGCACUCCGCCUGGGGAGUACGGCCGCAAGGCUGAAACUCAAGGAAUUGACGGGGACCCGCACAAGCGGUGGAGCAUGUGGUUUAAUUCGAAGCAACGCGAAGAACCUUACCAGAUCUUGACAUCCUCUGACCACCCAGAACUGGGCUUUCCCUUCGGGGACAGAGUGACAGUGGGUGCAUGAUGUCGUCAGCUCGUGUCGUGAAGAAGUGUUGGGUAAGUCCCGUACGAGCGCACCCUUAUUGUAGUGCCAGCAUUCAGUG